CACGUAGGGCGCAAGCGUUGUCCGGAAUUAUUGGGCGUAAAGAGCUCGUAGGCGGACUGUCACGUCUGCUGUGAAAAGCUGGGGCUUAACCCUGGCCUUGCAGUGGAUACGGGCAGACUAGAGGUAGGUAGGGGAGAAUGGAAUUCCCGGUGUAGCGGUGAAAUGCGUAGAUAUCUGGAGGAACACCGGUGGCGAAGGCGGCAUCCUGGACCGAGAUCGACGCUGAGGCGCGAAAGCUAGGGGAGCAAACGGG
rnacentral:rRNA from 1 species